CAUAAGAAAAAGAGGGUCAUGGGGGACCAAUGGUCACCGAUUAUGCAUUGUUUGUUAUGUAGAGGGCGCAAAUGGCUACAAGUAGUGCAGUGGGACUUUAAGACAUUUCUCUCUCAAAGAGAAAUAUACUGAUAAAAGACAAUCAUUUCAGAUGGCCGUUAUAGAGAGGUUGCCAUUUUAAAGGUUUGGCUGUACUUCGUUUUGGUUCAGUCACAUAUGCAUCCAAGCAUUUUCCAGUUGUAAGGUAUCCUUCACCAGGCAUAGAUAAAAAGAAAAAUCAUUUCUUGUUGAUGAAAAAACUCCCGAGUCGUGGAAGUGGUAGGGGGCACUGCAACAUUGCCCCUUAUCUUUUGUUGGGACAUGUCUCUGAUUGCAAUUUAAAGCUGAUGCCCCUUUCGGCACACUUUGCCAGAGUCUGAGAAAGGAAAAUGUUUGGAUAUCAAAACAAUAUUUUGUUAUUGCUGCCAUAAUUUUGUUUUAAUUUUUUCUAGAGGUACAUGGUAUGUUGUAAUGUAAGAAAUGUACAAUUUUUACUCUGAAAUAUGAUCCCUGUUUUUGAUUGAUUCUCGUUAUAAUGGUAAUUAAGUAUCUUGAUAAUGCAAUGCGCAUGGAAUGAUUUGUUGAAGAUGUUUAUAACAGAGUAUGUCGUCAAUUUAUUGAAUACUGAUUUAUUGGAAAUACUUCUGGAAGAUGAACAAAUAUUAUAUUGUUGAAUUUUUACUGAGAAUUUUCUUUAGAAUUUGUUAUUUUGUAACCUUUUGACUAAAGAUCGGCCUAUACAAUUUACUGAUAGGUCGUUUUUUAUUUGUUAUACUAUACAUGCAUAUCGUAAAUGUAGAGUAAUUCACAUUUUCUUUAAUGUUCGUUUUAUAUGCAAGGUGUUUUUCUUACCGAUUGAAGGUGUGGGAUUAGGUUAAGUUUGAUUUUGUUGAAAGGUUUUAAGCUGGCGUUUAAACAACUUAUUGCAUGAUUGAAGCUGCAAGUUAGGUACUUAUUGAAAUUGAAUGGCACAAAAAGAUGCUACACUGCAAUCAUUGGUUGGCUUAAAGUGUAUAAGUCAUUCUAUCUCUGAGUGGUGGUUGUUUCCAAGAGUUGUUGUUUCAUAAUUAUGAAAUGUGCAUCUCAAGUUUCUUUGUAUCGGAUCAUUCGUUCAAGAUGAUAUCUCAAAGAUCAGACGUAAUGUGAGAUUCAAAAAUUACCUAUAAUGAUCUUUUAUUACUCAGACUCGGAACUUACUUAGGCUGAAUGUAAAGGCUGCACUAGUCUUAUGCACAAAGAUUGUGACUCUGUAAGUUAUUCUUGAUAGUUAAAACCUAUAUAUCACAGAAAGUUAAUGAUCAUUCUCCGUGACUGUUUAGGUUGAAAUUUGAACUAUCAAGAAUAAAUUAUGUGCUAAUCUUUUUUAAAGAAAAGAGGUAAAACUACCAUUUAUUCUAAAUGUGUGGGCAAUAGUGUAUUACUCUUGCCCGUACUCUUGAGAAUCCAGUACAAGGUCAUUGCACUAUGCAAUAAUUCAAAUACUAACUUUUCUCUUGCAUUAGAGCUCGGCUACCGAAACUAAACAUUUACUUCCCAGAAGAGCCAGUAAAAUUUAUAAAUCCUUCAAAUUAUUUGUAUGUACAUUUACAAAAUGAUGUUACUAUGUACAUUUUAGGUCAUAUAGCAGCUACCGUAUACAGUCGAACCUGUCUAUAGCGACCGCCCAAGGGAAACACAAAAAGUGAGCUUUGUAGACGGGUUCCUUUAGUAGUAUGUGAUUCAAUGAGAAACCAUUUUCAAGGGAAACAACAAAUGUGGCCUUUGUAGACAGUGGUCACUAUAAAGCAGGUUUUACUGUAGUUGUCAAUAUUUCUACUUGGAGGAUUAUGCAAAGAAUCUCUAAUGAAUGCAAUUACUUUUGGGGAUCACACCAAUCAGCUGAAUAUUUGGUGAGGUUUGGAUGACCAGUACUUAAUGCUAUAUUCAACAAGCUUCUUAGAAAAAUAAAUAAAUUUUGCAGCACUUUCAUGUA
rnacentral:lncRNA from 1 species